rnacentral:rRNA from 1 species
AGUGAACGCUGGCGGCAGGCCUAACACAUGCAAGUCGAACGAGUGGCGGACGGGUGAGGAAUAUAUCGGAAUCUACUCUGUCGAGGGGGAUAACGUAGGGAAACUUACGCUAAUACCGCAUACCAUCAAAUGUGCCCAUAUCGGAUUAGCUAGUUGGCGGGGUAAAGGCCCACCAAGGCGACGAUCCGUAGCUGGUCUGAGAGGAUGAUCAGCCACACGGGAACUGAGACACGGUCCAGACUCCUACGGGAGGCAGCAGUGGGGAAUAUUGGACAAUGGGCGCAAGCCUGAUCCAGCCAGACCGCGUGGGUGAAGAAGGCCUUCGGGUUGUAAAGUACUUUCAGCGGGGAGGCGUUACCCGCAGAAGAAGCACCGGCUAACUCCGUGCCAGCAGCCGCGGUAAUAC